UAUUUCGCCCGCUUCCCAAAC
rnacentral:piRNA from 1 species